rnacentral:misc_RNA from 1 species
AAAGAGUGGAGAUAACAAGAUCGCAAUUAGAGAGAGAGAAAUUACAUUGUGAAAUGUUAUCUAAUUGGAGGUACUGCUAUCUUCACUCCAGCCACUAAUGCAAAAACUUAACUUCUGUUUGGUAGAGGAAGAAUAGUGGAGGGGGAGGGAAAAUGGGACUUUAGGGCUCACAUGUUAAGAAGCAAAUUUGUGGGACCCUAUACCCAUUGUCAUCCCUCUCCCAAACAUAGCCUAAAGCUCUUCCAUUGGAUGUUCCUUGAAAUAAAUGAAAACUAGGAAUAACAACGAGGCGGGUCAGGGGCAACAGGCUGGGUUAGGGGAGGGAAUCGCUCCUCCUGUCCCCACCUCAUAGGAGUUCCGGGUUGGGGCGGAG